AUGCAAGGGUGGUCUGAACGUUUAUUGGCAUGUGCAGGCAGAGAAACAUUGAUGAAAUCAGUGGUGCAAUCCAUACCAACGUUUAGUAUGAGUACUUUUCUUCUAACCAAGAAGGUUUGCAAGAGUGUUACCUCCCCAAUGGCAAAAAUUUCUUGGAGCAGUUCUCUUGACAGGAAGUCAGUGCAUUGCGUCUCAUGGGAACAAUUGACGACGCCAAAGUGCAAAGGGGGCAUGGGCUUCAGGGACAUGCACCAGUUUAAUCUAGCGACGCUGGGCAAACAAGGGUGGAGGCUGCUCACACAGCCGGAUACAUUGUGCUCAAGGGUGCUAAAAGGAAGGUAUUUCCCGGAAGUUGAUUUCAUGGAUGCUACGCUGUCCAAGUCAGCUUCCAAGACUUGGCGGGCGAUUAUGGCGGGCAGGGAAGCCCUCCAAGCCGGUUUGAUCAAAAGAAUUGGAGAUGGCACAUCCACUUCUAUAUGGACUGACAGAUCACCUACCACGCUUGAUAAGGUCUCAGAUCUGAUAGACAGUGAUAACUGGUCAUGGCGACAGCAGGUGGUCCGAGACAAUUUUAUUGCGCCAGAUGCCCAGGCCAUUCUUAAUAUCCCAUUGAGGCAAGGCGGCGGUGAAGAUUUUCUCGCUUGGGCGCUCGAUAAGUCAGGCAACUAUACUGUCAAGACGGCGUACCGUGCUCUUAUGACUCAGAAAGAGCGGUUAGCUCUAGAGGAAGGGACGGAUACCGGUACUUCACGGGAUGAUCAUUAG
rnacentral:rRNA from 1 species